rnacentral:rRNA from 1 species
GAGUUUGAUCAUGGCUCAGAUUGAACGCUGGCGGCAGGCCUAACACAUGCAAGUCGAGCGGAUGAAGGGGGCUUGCUCCUGGAUUCAGCGGCGGACGGGUGAGUAAUGCCUAGGAACCUGCCUGGUAGUGGGGGAUAACGUCCGGAAACGGGCGCUAAUACCGCAUACGUCCUGAGGGAGAAAGUGGGGGAUCUUCGGACCUCACGCUAUCAGAUGAGCCUAGGUCGGAUUAGCUAGUUGGUGGGGUAAAGGCCUACCAAGGCGACGAUCCGUAACUGGUCUGAGAGGAUGAUCAGUCACACUGGAACUGAGACACGGUCCAGACUCCUACGGGAGGCAGCAGUGGGGAAUAUUGGACAAUGGGCGAAAGCCUGAUCCAGCCAUGCCGCGUGUGUGAAGAAGGUCUUCGGAUUGUAAAGCACUUUAAGUUGGGAGGAAGGGCAGUAAGUUAAUACCUUGCUGUUUUGACGUUACCAACAGAAUAAGCACCGGCUAACUUCGUGCCAGCAGCCGCGGUAAUACGAAGGGUGCAAGCGUUAAUCGGAAUUACUGGGCGUAAAGCGCGCGUAGGUGGUUCAGCAAGUUGGAUGUGAAAUCCCGGGGCUCAACCUGGGAACUGCAUCCAAAACUACUGAGCUAGAGUACGGUAGAGGGGGGGUGGAAUUUCCUGUGUAGCGGUGAAAUGCGUAGAUAUAGGAAGGAACACCAGUGGCGAAGGCGAACACCUGGACUGAUACUGACACUGAGGUGCGAAAGCGUGG